rnacentral:rRNA from 1 species
GUCCUAGCCGUAAACGAUGAGCACUAGGUGUUGGGGGGAAACUUUCAGCGCCGUAAGGUAACCAGUUAAGUGCUCCACCUGGGGACUACGGCCGCAAGGCUAAAAACUCAAAGGAAUUGACGGGGGCCCGCACAAGCGGUGGAACAUGUGGUUCAAUUCGACGCUACGCGAAGAACCUCACCAAGGCUUGACAUGCAGGAAGUAGUGAACUGAAAGGGGAACGACCUGUCAAGUCAGGAGCCUGCACAGGUGUUGCAUGGCUGUCGU